GACGAACGCUGGCGGCGUGCUUAACACAUGCAAGUCGAGCGGUAAGGCCCUUUCGGGGGUACACGAGCGGCGAACGGGUGAGUAACACGUGGGUGACCUGCCCUCAGCUCUGGGAUAAGCCUGGGAAACCGGGUCUAAUACUGGAUAUGACUCCAUGACGCACGUUGUGGGGUGGAAAGCCUUGUGCGGCUGAGGAUGGGCCCGCGGCCUAUCAGCUUGUUGGUGGGGUGAUGGCCUACCAAGGCGACGACGGGUGGCCGGCCUGAGAGGGCGACCGGCCACACUGGGACUGAGACACGGCCCAGACUCCUACGGGAGGCAGCAGUGGGGAAUCUUGCGCAAUGGGCGAAAGCCUGACGCAGCGACGCCGCGUGAGGGAUGACGGCCU
rnacentral:rRNA from 1 species